GUGGCUGCCGGAUGGAUGCUCUCUACUAGUGCUGUGCAGAGGCUUUCACUGAGGCUGCUGUGAGAUUGUAGGGUUCCCCCCUGGGCUACAGAGCCAG
rnacentral:pre_miRNA from 1 species